UCCCUCCAAUUCCCUAGAUAUGGACUGAGAUCCAAAGUCUGGGUAAAUAAGAGAAAGAGGACAGGAACUUUCUUCCUCUCAGUAGCCUCCUCCCAUUCCCUCUUUCCUGAAUUCUUUUCUUUGAGAGAAAUCAUAUUUAGGUUAAGACAAAAAGAACAAUAGUGCGUGUAAAGCUUCUGACCUCACCCAAAAACAUUAUAAAAUGAGCUAUAAAUCCAGGGAACACAAUGUCUGCACAUUCUGCAGCUUUCCAGAAAAUCUAGGCCAGGCAACUGGAGGGGAUAGGAUGGGAAAGUGGGGGCUGGAGAAUAAUUUCUCACUCCUCCAGUGCUAAUAGUCUCUGCAAUAGGAUCCUAUUUAUUUUCUUAUUCAGUUCCCAAGAGCCUGUGGAGUGGGCACACAGCAAUUAUUGGAGUUAAGCAGAAGGUUGAGCUACAUAAAAUCAUCUGGCUACUUAGCAGCCAGCAUCAGAAUCCGGGUCUUCAGAUCCCACAAACUUGUUUUGUUUCUUUGAGUUUUGAGUUGGAACCAAUUGAAUCAGUCCCAGAUGUUGAUAUCAGUGCAUCUGUAGUUGAGAAGAUAAACAAUUCUUUCUAGGCCUUGAGAAAUUUGCAAAAUAUUUUACUUUUCUACACUUGUUUCUUGAACACCUACUAUAUGCAAGAGGUGGGCACUGGAGUCCAAAGCGAAGGUCAUAUGAUAGCUGCUUAAUAAAAUUUGCUGAUCGAAUGAAGGAGCUAAUGAAUUCAAUAAAAUCAGGGAAGGCUUCUUGGAGGAGGAGCACCUUGCUCCAGUGGGCUGAGAAGACAUUCCAUGAGACCAGAGCAAGGAGAGGAGUGGCCUGGCAGCUGAAGCCAGAGACAGACUUGAACCUGGAGUUUACCUUUUUGAGAGUUAAAUCUGUGUGGAGGAGGAAAGGAGGAGAGACUAGAAGCGGAGAGGCCCUUUGGAGGCUCUGGUUCAGGCAAAAAAGGAUGGGCUGUGAAUUCCUGCAUUUAUCUACCUUUGUUUUCCUGUGUAGACACAAGGCUGCCUGGCCUCUCAGAGAAUCUUCACAUCAAACCUAGGAGAAAGGUACUAUUAUCAUCUCUAAGUUACAAAAAUGGGAACUGAGCCACCAAAUGGCUAAGUGGUUUGCCUAAGAACACAGCGCUGGGCAGACAGAGGAACCAGGGGACUUAGGCCUUGCCAAGGAGGUGACAGUUGGACUGGCCUGGAGGGACUGGCCUGGAAAGAACAGCUACAGUAUGGCCACAGGGUUCCGGGAUGGCCAAGGAGGCCCAUCUCACCAGACCUGGCCCUGAGAAACUUCACCAGCAAGGCUUUCAAAUCGGGUGCGUGAUUGCUACGACGUGAGUUCCCUUCCAGUAGGGCCUGCAGCUGCUCUGUCCUCCUGGAUGGAGAAUCUGACUCCAACUCAGCUUCCCAAACCACACACAAUUCCAAGAUGAGACUGGUCUUCCUCUGGGGGACCAAGGAGAAAUGUGGUAAUUUAGACUCUCAAAGACUCUUCCUAAAAAGCUGGGCUGUUAAGGAAUCCACUCCAAGCGAUCACCAUCUGUGGCAGGCAGCUGGUGGAAUAGACAGAACUGUUUUGACAUCAGAUGAACUAGAAUUUGAAUACUGGUUUAGUCCUGUCUAGCUGUAGGGAUUUGAAGGGAAAUACAGUUUUUCUUUCGGAAAACCAGGACAAUAAUAUUGUACUAGAUUUGUGAGGUUAAAGAUAUAGAAGGUAUAGACAGCUAGGAGGUGUUGGGAGAUUGGGGCUUCUAUUCUUUGUUUUGCAUUAUUAUUCUUAGCAAAGCCACUUACAGGGUGUCUGAAGAAGCAUCCCUUUCUUUGGCUCCAGAGUGUGAGUAGAGUUUAUUAGGGUCCCCCUGGCUUUUGGGUCCACCCAGUUUCUUCUGCAGACAAUGUUUGGACUGAACUUCACUCUCUGUACAAUGAGGAAACCUGUUUUAAAGGCCUCACUUGUCAAAAAAACAGCCAUAAAACAGACUUAAUGAGACUUCUGGAUACAGCCAGGCCCAUGUGAUUGGCUGCUCCAGGGCAGGCAAGGCUGGAAUUCAGGGCUCUGAACGUGCUGGCCGGCUGCGCUCCAGCCCCGGUCUGUGCUGGUGGUGUUCCGUGUGCUCUGUCCGCCUCUCCUUUAACUUCCCUGAUAAAAUGCUUACUUGGAUAUUGUUCUGAGAUGAUUGAUUGUUAAAUGCCCUGCAAAUACAAAACUAGGCUGCUAAGUCACACUCGAGAGAAGUCCAGGAAAUCCUCUAGUUGAAUGUUACAGCCGGCUUCUCCUGAAUAGAGGCACAGCAGCAGAUUUCACCUAGCCAACCCGUUUGCUUUUUAAAUGGGGAGACCGAGGCCCUGAAAGGGGAAAGCACUUACAUAAUAUGUAUGUUUUAUUACAACUAAAAAAAAAAAAGACAGAGAGAAAGACGAAUAGACAAGGCCCUCGUAGACCAGGAGGAUGGCAGACUCACUGGAUUCAUGCUGGGUGGGGGGCCUCUCUAAGCUCUUUCCCCCACUCUACCUUUCUGCUCCUUCUCCUUUAUUCCCCAUAGAUAGAGAGCAGUUUUUCCUCCUAGUACCAAAUGUGGAUGGUGGCAUAUUCUUUCCCUUUUACAGAAAUAUUAAAUCCCCCCAGGUCACACAGCUGUGUUGUCUGGGUGGUGGCUGAACCAGGAUUCCAUCUCAGGUGUGUCUGAUGGCCAUCACGAUACCACUGUAAAGCUGAGCUCAUUGACUAACGCUUAGGAAGUGGAGGGCCUUACAUUCUAGAUUCCAACCUUCGCCUACAACAAAGGAAACUGCCGGUAUUUUCCCAUUGCUAGUGACCUCUGCUUUCUUGUGACCAACAAGUAAGCAAGUCAAGUCCAUUUGUUAAGCUCUGUGACUCUUUUCAUUGUUAGGAAAAUUUGGACUUCAAAGUGAGGGAGUUUUGGGGGAUGCUUGGCCUCUUUGGGACCGAGAGGGUGAGGACAGCUGUUUUCUUGUUCAAUUGGCAGCCCUGGAUUAAAUUUCUAAUUUUCUUCCUCACCUAUUUCCUCCCUGUUUCCUAUAAGCUUAGCCCUUUUCCUGGCACAUAGUAGGUGUUCAAUAAAUAU
rnacentral:lncRNA from 1 species